GUGCUAGGGGAGCGGCCGAUGUCCGAUUAGCUAGUUGGUGGGGUAAUGGCUCACCAAGGCAACGAUCGGUAGCUGGUCUGAGAGGAUGAUCAGCCACACUGGGACUGAGACACGGCCCAG
rnacentral:rRNA from 1 species